UCUUUCAAAAAUGCUUCCCACGGAGUAUUCAAACGUUCAAAAAAUCGCUCGUAUCCGCUCACUUUAUCUUUUCACGAACCCAAACCCAAUCUCCCCACCCAAAUACCCAUUACCCUUUACCCUACCCCUACAUACAUAUAAAACAUAAUUAGAAAAACAAAAAAGGAGAGUGACAAAAUCCAUCAGAUCCAACCCCUAAAGAAACGGCACACCCUAAGUCGUCUUCUUCAGCUUUGUUUGCGAAAAACACCAACUAGCCGUGAUACCCUCUCCUUGAUUCUCUCAUCUCGCUUUCAUCCUCCUCAUCUCCCCAUCGGCACACACGAAACAACUGAAAAAUGGUUUUCUAUUGCUUCUUUGAAUCUUACAAAACAGAUCUGAGAAGGAAAUGAGCUUCCAAAAUUCGGUUUUGUAAAGGAAAUUGCUACUGUUUCUGCGGGACUGUGUUACUUCCGAGAUUGCUGGGUGUCAUCGCUCAAUUAUUCGGCAGUUGUGGCUUAUUUCAAGCUCUAUUUUGAAGCUUUCACUUGGGAAUUAAUUUUGUAUUGAAUCAAACAAUGGAAAAGGCUUCAUCCGAAUUUCUUUAAAAGGGUUUUGAAGCAAGUCCAUCAUCCACAACUCAAAAUCAAGAAACGAACAUGAUCCUUACGACAUGCAUAAGGAAGGGUGUGGAUCAAAGGGAACAAUGUUUGUAAGCGAGAACACAAGAGGUACAGAUAAAUCAACGCUUGAGCCACAUCAGUAGGACAUCCACCAGCUAUUGGAGUCACGCUGCUUACUCCGGGAGGAUUCCUCCAAAGAGAUUCACAACUGCCUUGAAGGGCAAAACCAUUGCUGGCCAGGGUUCUAGCAGAGUACCACCUAAGUUAGAUGAGCAUAAGGAUCCAGACAUGAGGUUCCAUCCAGAGCUUCAUGGACUAUGUUUGUUUAGGGAGAAGUUAGGUGGUGCUCCAGCUACCACACCUCCGUCUACUUCGACAUGAGGGAUGUAGUUAGAUUGUUAACUAGAAUUGUAGCUACCCAGUCCAGAUGGUAGAAUAAUGGUCCUCAGGGUGAUGAUACAAGUUCUAUGAUUCUUGAUUUCCUCAUAUUAGAGCCUCCAAUUUUCACGAGAUCUAGUACAACAGAGGAUCCCCAAAAUUUUCUAGAUAGAGUAGUUAGAGCCCUUAGAGUUAUGCAUGCCAUAUAUAGAAAGUCAGUUGAAUUGGUGGCAUAUAGAUUACAAGAUCUAGCAGCAGGUUGAUAUACCACUGGGAGAUGUCUAGGGUAGCAAAUACUGCUCCAAUUACCUGUAGGGAGUUAUUAGAGGCAUUUCUCCACCAUUACUUACCUAUAGAGACACGUAGAGCAUGAUUGGAUAAGUUCCUGACAUUGAGACAGGGGGUAUGAGUAUUGCAGAAUUGAACCUUUGCUUUAAUUCUUUGGAGAGGUUUGCUCUUGCAGUUGUAUCAGACAUGGAGGACAUGGUACACAUGUGUAGCAAGACUUGGUCCUCACUUAGUAAGUGAAUAUAUGACUGUAUCUAUGCAUUUGAGUGUGGACAUUGGACGUAUUCAGUCGAGUGUGGACAUUGCAAGUAUUCUUUUGGUGAGACAUCUGGUGCUUCUAGACAAUAUAGUUGUUACGUCGACAGCAGCUAGUACUCCUUCACGAUUUUAGGGGCCGAGAUCUAAUUGACCCUCAUAGUCUAGAGCUAGUCAGGAAUCACGUGCUUCAAGGUCCUAGUAUCGAGGUGUUUCUAGUCAGGGUGGUUCACUUUACCCUAGGUGUUUUGAUUGUGGUAGACACUAUUUGGACCGAUUUCAAUUGGGUUAAGAUGCAUGUUAUGUUUGUGGUGAGUCAGGUCAUUUUAUGAGAGAAUGCUCGUUUAGGGGUGGUAAUGGUGCAUCUCAGUCGGCAAGAUUAGUUGCAGCUUCUUCAGCACCAGCACGCUUGCAAGGGCAAGUUCCUCAGACACUAGCAGACCAUGGUAGAGGCCGAGGCGGAACUCUUACUACAGGCGGUCCCCAGAACCGCACCUACUCUCUGUUUGGUCGUCAGGACUAGGAGGCUUCACUAGAGUGGUUAUAGGUACUUUAUAAGUGAAUUCUCAGAAUGUGUAUGUAUUGUUAGAUCCUGGUUCUACACUAUCAUAUGUCACUCCCUUUCUUGCUACUAAGUUUAGGAUAGAACUAGAUGCCAUUAAACCUUUUGAGGUAGCCACCCCAGUUGGUGAUUCAAUAGUAGCUAGGCUAGUUUUUAGAGGUUUCACGGUUGUGAUUGGUGACCCUAGUACUAUAGCUGACUUUAUUAAGUUAGAAAUAGUUGACUUUGAUGUUAUACUUGGUAUGGAUUGGUUGUCUUCUUGCUAUGCUAAUGUUGACUGUAGAGCGAAGACGGUCUCGUUUAGAUUUCCUAGAAGGGUCAUUUAUAGAAUGGUGUUUCUGCAUCACUAAAAGGUAGAUUUAUUUUGUACCUUAAGGCAAGAGGGAUGAUCGCUAAGGGAUGCUUAUAUCAUGGGUUCAUGUUUGAGACAUAGAGAAGGGAAUACUGACUCUUGAAUCAGUUCCACUAGUGAAUGAGUUCCCUAACGUAUUUCCGUAUAAUCUUCCAGGUCUUUAUCCAUAGUGGGAAAUUGACUUUCCCAUCGAUAUAGUGUCGGGUAAGCAACCAAUAUCUAUUCCUCCUUACAGGAUGACACCAACAGAAUUAAAGGAACUUAAGGAGCAGUUGAAAGAUUUGUUUGAUAUGGGUUUUAUUAGACCCAAUACUUCUCCUUGGUGAGCAUCAAUAUUAUUUGCGAAAAAAAGAUGGCUCCCUACGUAUGUGCAUAGAUUACAAACAACUAAACAAGGUCAUGAUCAAGAACAAAUGUCCUCUUCCCAGAAUUGAUGACUUGUUCAACUACCUUCAGGGUGCUAAGUUCUUCUCGAAGAUAGACUUGAGAUCAGGCUACCAUUAGGUUAGAGUCAGAGAAUGUGAGAUACCUAAGACAUCAUUCAGAACCCAAUAUGGCUAUUACGAGUUUCUAGUAAUGUCGUUUGGGUUGACUAAUGUCCUAGCGGUAUUUAUGGAUCUUAUGAACAACAUGUUUAGGCCUUAUCUGGACCUAUUAGUGAUAGUGUUUAUUGAUGAUAUUCUGGUUUAUUCCAAGUCUGAAGCAUCUGCGCAUAAUGUUGGGUAUCCUCCGAGACAAGAAAUUGUAUGCCAAAUUCUUGAAGUGCAAAUUCUAGUUGAAUUCGGUAGCAUUUCUUGGACAUAUAUAUCAUCAGAGGGCAUCAAAGUAGAUGGUCAGAAGAUAGAGACAAUGAAGAAUUGGCCUAGACCUAUAACGCCAAUCGAAGUACGUAGCUUUUUGGGUUUAGCAGGGUAUUACAAGAGGUUCGUAGAAGGCUUUUCUUCCCUUGCAGCGCCAUUGACUAGAUUAACACAGAAAGCAUCCAAAUUUCAGUGGUUAGAUGAAUGUGAGAAGAGUUUGCAGGAGUUGAAGAACAGGUUGAUUACAACUCCGGUUCUUACACUUCUAGAGGGAUCUGAGGGUUAUGUUAUUUAUUGUGACGCUUCUCGAAUUGGCCUAGGUUAUGUGCUGAUACAUCACAAAAAGGUAAUUCCUUAUGCUUCUAGACAAUUGAAGAAGCACAACAGAAUUAUCCUACACAUAACUUGGAGCUAGCAGCGAUUAUUCAAGCACUGAAGAUUUGAAGGCACUCUCUCUAUGGCAUUAAUGUUGAUAUCUAUACAUAUCAUAAGAGCCUCCAGUACAUAAUUAAAUAGAAGGAGUUGAACUUGCAGCAAAGAAAGUGGUUAGAGCUUCUAAAGGACUGCGACGUUGACAUUCUUUAUCAUCCAGGUAAAGUUAGUGUUGUAGUUGAUGCUCUCAGUCAUAAGUCCAUGGGGAGUUUAGCUUGCUUUCAGCCUAAAAAAAGGGAGUUAGCUCAUAAACUCCAUCAGUUAGCCAGUUUGGGUAUUAAAUUGAUAGAUUUAGAGGAUGCAAAAGUUAUAGUUCAGAAUACGACUACCACUUGUUUAGUGACCGAAGUGAAAUAGAGGUAAUAUGAAGAUCCAGUUCUAAUUAAGUACAGUAUGGUAGCCAGGAAAAAUAAAAAGUCUCCUUACAUAGUUACUAGUAAAAGAGUCCUCAGAUAUAAAGAUAGGCUCUUUGUUCCAGACGCUGCAGGGUUACGCAUGAAAAUUAUGGUAGAGGAACAUCAUUCCAGGUACACAAUUCAUCCAGGCUCUACUAAGAUGUACCAUGAUCUUAAGCAGAUUUAUUGGUGGGGUGGAAUGAAAUGUGACAUAGUAGAGUUUGUGGCCUAGUGUCCUAGCUGCCAGCAUGCUAAGUUUGAGCACCAGAAGCCUAGCGAUUUGUUACAAGAGAUAAAGAUCCCAACAUGGAAGUGAGAAGUAGUAAAUAUGGACUUUAUUACAUGACUGCCACGUACGAGGAGCAGGUAUGAUUCUAUUUGGGUUAUAGUCAUCAGGCUUACUAAAUCAACUUAUUUCUUGCUUGUUAGCACUACCUAUACAAUAGAAGAUUAAGCCUGAUUUUAUAUCAGGGAGAUUGUACAUCUCCAAAGCGUUCCAAUAUCUAUCAUUUCAGGUAGAGGCGCACAGUUUACAGCUAACUUCUAGCAAUUGAAUUUGAGUACAACUUUUCAUCCCUAGAUAGAUGGACAGGUCAAGCGAAUCAUAUGGAUGCUCGAGGUCAUGUUAAGGGCAUGUAUGUUAGAUUUCAAAGGUAGCUGGGAUGAACACUUACCGUUGAUAGAGUUUGCAUACCACAAUAGUUAUCAUUCCAUCAUAAAAAUGACACCUUAUGAAGCUUUGUAUGGGCGUAAGUGCAAAUCACCCAUAGGAUGGUUUGAAGUUUGUGAGUAUCAACUUAUAGGCCCAUAUAUGAUCCAACAAGAAGUGGAUAAGGUUAAGCUGAUUAGGGAGAGAUUGCUAGCAACCCAAAGUUGACAGAAUUCAUAUGCAGACAAUCGAUACUGAGAUCUAGAAGUCCAAGUUGAUGAUUAGGUGUUCCUGAAGGUGUCACCUAUGAAAGGUGUUAUAAGGUUCUGAAAAAAGGGAAAGCUUAGCCCUAGGUAUAUAUGUCCAUACCUGAUCAUCACACGAGCUGGUCGUGUAACAUACGAGUUGGACCUUCCAGCAGACCUUCAAGAGGUACAUCUAGUGUUUUAUGUCUCCAUGCUUCGGACGUGUAUUGGAGAUCCUUCUAGAGUAGUACUAGUUGAUGAUGUACAGAUCACCAAGCAAUUAACUUAUGAGGAGGUACUAGUUGCCAUUUUAGAUCAGCAGGUUCGUCGGUUGAGGACGAAGCAAUAAUGUGGAAGAGAUGACUUGGGAAGCUAAGAAGGAUAUGAGAGCCAUAUAUCCACACCUCUUCACUACUCCAUGUAUGUAAUGGAUCAUUGCUUAAUGCUUUUGUAUACCUCAGUCAAUAUUCAAGGACGAAUGUUCUUAAGAUUGGGAGAUUGUCACACCCCAUACAUAUGUGAUGUCGUAUAUUGUGUAAAUGAAUU